CCCACCCUAUCCUACCCCAAAUUUUCGUGCAUAUCCUCCCCAAAAGCAAGAGUGGCUGCAAACUUCUCUCAUUCCAUUCAUUUUCACUCCAAGAAAAGUGCUAAGGCAAGAAAGUGCUCUCACUCUCUUCUCCCCUCUCCAUUUUCGUCCCUCCACAUCUCCCCCACUCCCAAGACUCUUCUCCCACCACUAUCACACUCCAUAGAAGCCCUUUAAGCCCCAAGAGAAGUAUCAAAGCAAGGGAGAGCGUGGGAAACCUAGGGCAUAAAGUUAGAGUGAAGAUUGUGCUUCGAGGGAAUUGGUCCGCAGGACGGUGCCACAGCUUAAGAUCACCUCUCUUCCACACUAAGGAUCAGGUUGAUGGCUGGUGUUGACGGGGAGAGCUGAGGCUAGGGUUCAACUCCGUGUUUUGACUUCCGUUGUAGUACUAGCCUUUAUCUGUCUUUCGUUCUCUUAACUUAAGACCUUUAUGUUAUGACUCUAAACGAUAUCUUUUGUUGAGCCUAGACUUUUGACUCUCAAGUAUUUUGAUUAAGGAAUGUUGGUUAUCUGAAGCAUGAAACUAAACUUGUGAUCCUGACGUUUGUCAUGUUUGUUGAUUGAUUUGUAUCAAUUGGAUACCUGUCUUUCUUCAUCUAAAGGGGCGAUGCCCGAUUGUUAUCCCUUCAA